ACGGGAGCGUAACACGUGGGAAUUUACCAAAAAGUGGGGGAUAGCUCGUCGAAAGGCGAAUUAAAACCGCAUGUGGUCGAAAGACUAAAGUGGGGGAUCGUAAGACCUCACGCUUUUUGAGAAGCCCGCGGCCUAUCAGCUAGUUGGUGAGGUAACGGCUCACCAAGGCUAUGACGGGUAGCUGGUCUGAGAGGACGACCAGCCUCACUGGAACUGAGACACGGUCCAGACACCUACGGGUGGCAGCAGUCGAGAAUUUUUCACAAUGGGGGCAACCCUGAUGGAGCGACGCCGCGUGGAGGAUGAAGGCCUUCGGGUCGUAAACUCCUGUCACUACAGAACAAGAGUAUAGUAAUUAAUACUUAUUAUGCUUGAUAGUAUGUGGAGAGGAAGGGACGGCUAACUCUGUGCCAGCAGCCGCGGUGAUACAGAGGUCCCAAGCGUUGUUCGGAUUUACUGGGCGUAAAGGGUGCGUAGGAGGCUAAGAAAGUCGGAUGUGAAAGCUCACCGCUCAACGGUAAAACUGCAUUCGAAACUUCUUGGCUAGAGGAUCAGAAAGGAAAGCGGAAUUCUUGG
rnacentral:rRNA from 1 species